rnacentral:rRNA from 1 species
GACGAACGCUGGCGGCGUGCCUAAUACAUGCAAGUAGGACGCACAGUCUAUACCGUAGCUUGCUACACCAUAGACUGUGAGUUGCGAACGGGUGAGUAACGCGUAGGUAACCUGCCUAUUAGAGGGGGAUAACUAUUGGAAACGAUAGCUAAUACCGCAUAACAGUAUGUAACACAUGUUAGAUGCCGAAAGAUGCAAUUGCAUCGCUAGUAGAUGGACCUGCGUUGUAUUAGCUAGUAGGUAGGUAAAGGCCUACCUAGGCACUGAUACAUAGCCGACCUGAGAGGGUGAUCGGCCACACUGGGAAUGAGACACGGCCCAAACUCCUACGGGAGGCAGCAGUAGGGAAUCUUCGGCAAUGGGGGGAACCCUGACCGAGCAACGCCGCGUGAGUGAAGAAGGUUUUCGGAUCGUAAAGCUCUGUGUUAAGGAAGAACGA